rnacentral:rRNA from 1 species
CUACGGGGUGCUGCAGUGAGGAAUAUUGCACAAUGGGGGGAACCCUGAUGCAGCAACGCCGCGUGGAGGAUGACGCAUUUCGGUGUGUAAACUCCUUUUAUAUGUCAAGAAAAUGACGGUAGCAUAUGAAUAAGCACCGGCUAACUCCGUGCCAGCAGCCGCGGUGAAUACGGAGGGUGCAAGCGUUACUCGGAAUCACUGGGCGUAAAGGACGCGUAGGCGGGUUGGAAAGUCAGGUGUGAAAUCCCACAGCUUAACUGUAGAACUGCACUUGAAACUUCUAAUCUAGAGUAUGGGAGGGGGAGAUGGAAUUAGUGGUGUAGGGGUAAAAUCCGUAGAUAUCACUAGGAAUACCUAAAGCGAAGGCGAUCUCCUGGAACAUUACUGACGCUAAGGCGUGAAAGCGUGGGGAGCAAACAGGAUUAGAUACCCGAGUAGUC